AGAAGAGGUCUGAAUUAGUUUGUCUUCUUCUUAUUGGGGCAAAAUAGCCCCCCAAAAGCAACCUUGGUACCUCAGGCUCACAGUUCGAAGGCACGCUUAAUCAGGACAGGAAAUCGCAGCAGUUGGAGUGAGAGGUGGCCGGUCACGUGGCAUCCGCCGUCAGGAAGAGAGAGAGAGAUGGAUGCUGGUGCUCAGCUCGCUUUCUCUUCUUUAUUCAGCCUAGGACUCCAGCCCCUGGAAUGUGCUGCCCACAUUUAGCGUGAGCCGUUCUGUGAACUCCCGGACUCGCACGGGGGCUUGUCUGCUAGGCGGCUCUAGAGUCGGUCAAGCUGGCAAUCGCUAUUAACCAUUACAGUAGAGUACGGGAAUCAGGCUUGUCACGGGGCAACACCUCUCACACCUCAUGUGGGAUCCGGAGGCUAUGACACCUUCAAGUCAUUGACAAUAUUCCCUACUUUCCACGUAAGCCUUUAGGCUUGAAAAGGCCAAUCUACGCCUGUAGAGCCAACUUCAUGGGAGUGAAACGCCCACCACCAAACUGCUUUGAAGAACCCCAUGGUUGCUGUCAUGUUCUGCUGUCACCACCUUGAAUUCCUCCUUAAUACUUGAACAGGGGGACUUCUCUGAACUGGGCCGAUGAUGUUACAAGGGGUUCUGGACGCCAGGGAUGAGCAGCGGGGUUCUAGGAGCUCACAUUCUCUGCCUUCUAAGUCUGCCCCUGGCAUCGGCAGAACCAUUAGCAAUUAGGAUUGAGGCGGGGCUGGAGAGAGAAUGCCUGCCUCACAGACAUGUUCUUGAAGCUCUAGGUCCAGUCUCCAGUACUGGCAAGUGAAGUAGGAACUGAAGGGGCAGUGUAGUAGCUUGUACAGUGACCCUGCCUUGUGCGUGCGUGCUUGUGUAUGUGUGUGUGUGUGUGUGUGUGUGUGUGUGUGUGUGUGUGAUGGUGGGAAGCUGGGCUAAUGAUUGCAUGCUUGGUCUGUAAUUGCAUUAGAGGGAUGGCCCCCUCCCUACAUGGAACAUUUGACUGGAUGGGGUAGGGAUGCUGGGUUGUGGGGGCAAGUUCUGUAUCAUCAGCUUUAAGCAGUCAGGAAGUCAGUCCUGCCCUAGGAAGUUCAGCCAUACUGGGGGUAGGAGGGACUUGGUCCCUCAAACGGAGGGAGGCGCUUAGGGCAGUGAUUCUGUUCCUUUCAAUUUGGUCCAAAGUUAAUGAUGUUCACUGUGUCCAAAAAUGCUACUCUUGGCAGCGUGAGGGAGGGACCACAGAGGACAUCACUGGGACAGCUAGGGAAACAGAAUUAUAUCUAGGCCAGUUUCCUUAGAUGUGAUCGUGGACUCUGUGGAACAUAGCACACACACCUGCGUGUGUAUAUGCAUGAACCACAGCACACAUGUGGAGGUCAAAGGACAACUUGGGGAAGUUGGUUCUCUCUUUACAUCAGGUGGAUCCCAGGAAUCAAAUUCAUAUUGUCAAGUGAAUUUGGUGGCAAACACCUUUACCCGCUGAGCCAUCUCACUGGCCCAAGAAUACUCCUUGUUCCUGAAGACACAGAGUGAAUGUAUUACAGGUGAUAUUUUAUGGUGUCUACAAUGGACUCGCAGGUUGUUCCGGGAGCACGCGCACACUUGUGUAGGUGCGUACGGAGACGAGAGGACAUCAGGUGUGCUGCUCAGGAGCUACCCACCGGGCUUUUGGGGACAGGAUCUCUCACUGGUCUGGAGCUCAUCCCUAAAGCUAGGCUAGCUGGCCUGUGAACUGCAGAGAUCUGCCCAUCUCUACCUCCUCAGUGCCGGGUUAAAAGUGCCCACCUCUGUGUCCAGCUUUUCAGUGGAGUUUCUGGGGGCUGAGCCCAGUUCUCACACCUGGGCAGCAAGCGCUUCAUGGUCAGAGCUAUUUCUCCAGCCUUUGGGUU